CUUUAUGCUUGUCACAUUAUAUAUUUUUAUUUUAGCGCAUCCCUGAUACUAACUGACAGUGAAUCAGGGUACAGGCACCCAAAGGCAAGACUCAAAGGAAGCACAUUAGACCUUGGAAAUGGAAGCCAAUCACAAACUUGGCCAGUGAAGAUGAGCUGGUGUUGUAUCAUUUGCGUGGAACCACUGAAGAGGGAAUAGAUAAUCCUUUUGUGCAGUUCAACAAGAAACUUCCAUUCCAAGAUACACUGAUGAGGAAUAUACUAGCGUCCGCAAGAGACUGGUUGGAGUAAACUAGAAACAGAUCAUCUUUUCGAAUUAUGCAGGGUCUGUGGUUGCCUCCUGGUAAAUAUGACAUUCUAAAUUCAACGUUACUAACUCAGUUCAUGAUUGUCAGAUACUAGAGUCUUUCAGUAUAAUGAACUUCAGCUUGUUAUACUAGGAGUGUACAAUGUGGAUGAGGCCAUUAGGCUGAGUCCUUGACAAAGGGGCAUCUGCUUUUUGAAGAACUUUGCCACCAACAAAAACUCUCACUAUUGACUCUCCGUGGAGAAAAUGUACACACACAACAAAC